UCACAAGGAGGGUGCAAGAGAAUAUAUCGAAGGGGCUAGAAAAUGACGAGUUUUAUAUAAUAUGAUGAGGUAUAAGAGACCAUGAGGGAAAUAGGAAAAGGUCGAGAGAGAAAAAUAGGAUGAGACAAAAUAUAGGGUGAGACCAGUGUUUAAAAAAACGCCGAGUCGAACCGGACUCGCCCGGUUCGACUCGAGAAUAGCCAUGGGGGGAUCGAAUCGGUUAAAAAAAUGGGAAUCGUCCCGUUCUAGAGAGAACCGGAUGAUUCUGCACAGUGACUCGCCGAUUCACUGUAUGGAAUCGGCGAGUCCGUGAAGAACACGGGUUGCACAGUG
rnacentral:lncRNA from 1 species